UACGUAGGGUGCAGGCGUUAAUCGGAAUUACUGGGCGUAAAGCGUGCGCAGGCGGUCUUUUAAGUUAGAUGUGAAAUCCCCGGGCUUAACCUGGGAACUGCGUUUGAAACUGGAAGGCUAGAGUGUGGCAGAGGGGGGUGGAAUUCCACGUGUAGCAGUGAAAUGCGUAGAUAUGUGGAGGAACACCGAUGGCGAAGGCAGCCCCCUGGGCUAACACUGACGCUCAUGCACGAAAGCGUGGGGAGCAAACAGG
rnacentral:rRNA from 1 species